UACGUAGGGUGCGAGCGUUUGUCCGGAUUUAUUGGGCGUAAAGAGCUCGUAGGCGGCUUGUCGCGUCGGAUGUGAAAGCCCGGGGCUUAACUCCGGGUCUGCAUUCGAUACGGGCAGGCUAGAGUGUGGUAGGGGAGAUCGGAAUUCCUGGUGUAGCGGUGAAAUGCGCAGAUAUCAGGAGGAACACCGGUGGCGAAGGCGGAUCUCUGGGCCAUUACUGACGCUGAGGAGCGAAAGCGUGGGGGAGCGAACAGG
rnacentral:rRNA from 1 species